ensembl:lncRNA
CUUUUUAAAUUAUUUCUUUAUUUAUAUAUAUUUAUUUAUUCAUCUCAGUUUGGUUGAUAUUCUUUUUAAUCGUUGUUGCACUUUAGUAUUUUUGUACUCAACAGAAAUGAACAUAAAAACAACAACAAAAAAGAGACAAAAAAUAAAAAUGAACCAAUAGAAAACAAAAUAAACCUAAGAAACAGGAGUGGAGCAGAGAGCUGGCUUGCUGGGAUGGAGAGAAAAGACAGAAGUCAGGGAUAGAAGAGUUAAGACAGAAAAAAUAGGGAGGGAAAGGGGGUCAAUCUGAUCAGGCAGAAGAUGUGUGUGAAGCAGCUCUAUUACUUCUGAAUCAUGUGCAGUGCUUUCCAUUCCCUUCAGCCGUCCCUUCUUGUGUCGAUCUGCUCCCCCCUCCACACACAUAUAUCUGAAAUAACUGUGGCACUGGUCACAUUACAGUAGACAAGGUGGAGCCUUGUACUGCUGUGGGACAACAGGCUUACAAUGUCUUCCAUUCCAAUCAUUUCCCUCCAUUAUACCUGACAAGUCCUCAAUCCUUUCUCUUUCAGUUCUUGGUUUUGGCUUGAGGAAAAACAACAACAGGGAGACAGAUCUGAAAGAGGAAUGAAUGAGAACCAGAGGGAGAACUGAGUUAGAAUGGAAGAGAUGGAGCAGAGAACACAUCAGAUCAAAGCCCACUGUCACUAUUUACCCCGAUACAAACUCUUGUUUGAGAGAUUCCAAUUUACUGCAAAAAACAAAAAAACUCACCACAAUGAGUCUGAACGAGAGUGAAUGUUGGUAAACAGGAUGUGACAUGCUGCAAAUGGAAAGCACAAGUGCUGCAUGACACCAUCUGCAGCUCUCAGGUGUAUAUAGCAUACAGUAUGUCGACCGUGCAUCCAGGUAUUGUGGUAUCUGACCUUUAUAAACACAUACAAGUGGAGCUUUAUUCUUUGCACCAUAGUCUUUAGCUGGCCCAUUAUUGAUUCAAUAUCCAGGAGUAUUGUAUAUGGGAGGAUAGAUAGAGGUUGAACAAUAAAGUAAAUUUAAAAAAAAAAAAAAAAAACUGGAAGAAAAAGGGAGGUUCAGUCCUCUACUGUGGUCCCCAGUGUGCUGUAGCCUCCAUCUGACUGUGCUGUGUGAUUCAGCAGAGGGCACAGACCUUGGGAAACAUGUUUAAGACGGGCACAAACCUGCCCUGCUCUGACCACAACCUUGUAUUCCUUUGUUGUUGAAGGAUUCAAAUAAUCCAUUCCUAUGGUCACCUCCUGAAAUGUUUCCCUUUUACAGUUUGGAGGUGUGUCCAGGUGUAUCCAACCAUGACAGGAUCCUUAAACUGUUCAUGAAAUGCAGCCAUCGCCUCCUCCCAUCUUCCACUCAACAAAACGAGGCAGAUAAGUUAAAAGAAAACCAAAAGAAAGGAGAGGGGGUAGCUGAAGGUGUAGGUUCCUCCUUGGUUGUCAUAGUAACAAGGAUAGCUUGGGAGGAGGGGGCCAUGUCCGUAAGGCGCCAUCAGAUCAGAAGCCGAUGUAGUAAAAGAUGGUGGGAGGAUCACAGCAGACAGGUAGGGCAGCAAGAGGGAGAAAAAGAGGUGGGUUUGUCCGUCUCCACACUUGUGAUGUUUAGGAUGAUAUGUCAGCUAUUUUACAAGUUAUUCCCUCGUUUUUUGUCUUUUUUUUUGUUUGUUUUUUAGAGUGUCAAGUCUCUGUAGCACCCAAACCAACCCAGACAAAGCCCAAAGCCUGACCCUGUAUAGCCUGCCACAACUACCCCAGUAACAGAAAACAGGCCCAACAUCAACAAGAAUGACAGUCACAACAACAUCAAUUGAAAUGAUACUUUAAAAAGCAACACAAAAUAAUUACUCUCCUCUUAUUCAAGUGUCUUGAUAUAAUAAUAUUAAAACAAAUAAGAACAAUCGUUUUUACGACACAGAAAGAGCAGUCUCUCUUCUCUCUGUCCUCUUUUGGCUAGAAAUCUCAAGAUUCAUAAAACGAAAAUGAAAACAUUUCGAAGACAUCCAAAAAUACAAAUGAUAAACAAUACCAAUAUAAAAAAGCCUCCCCAACAACAUCUAAAAACAAAAACAGAACCAAAAGAAAAAAAAAAUGAUACAGAAAUUGCAAUAGCGUUCUAUACAUGGCAUCACUGUACAAGGAAAGGAGCAAAUGUCUGGUAUAACUACCCACAAUGCAAUACACUGUCACUGACAUGGGAAAGGAGGAUGAAGAACACAAGAUAGGGAAGUUUAGGGUUGGAGGAGAUGGGAAGGGUGGAAAUGGAAAGCAGGGAAACAGUGUGGAAGAGAGCAAGGAACUGCGAGGAGGGUUGGAAACAGACGGAGGAUAGCUUGAACCGAAAGUGCAGAAUUACUUAAGUAAUUUAACAAGAAUGUUGUCUUCCUUGCAACACAGAACUGUUUUCCUUUAAUAAUAAUAAUAAUAAUAUUCAUUAUAAUAAAACUUCUUUUACAGAAAACAGUAAUAACAAUAAGAGUAACAAUAUUGACCAUAAUGCCUACAUGGACAUUAGCCAUAAAAAUGAAUUUUAAAAUAAAACAAAAACAAAAGAAAGAAAAUGAAUGCCAGAGCAAAAGAAAAAAAAAAGAAAAAAGAGAGCUGGUUUGUCCUGUGCGAUGUCACUGAGCUCCAUCUUUGGAUAGAGCGGUUUUGUUGCUCGGUUGGAGCCUGACCCAAAACACCCGCCACCCGGCCCGAAAGGCGCCACCGCUGCUGAGAUUUCAGCCCGCUCCGGAAUGAUCUGCUGCAGGACAGCAGGAGGGGGGAGAGAGGGAGGAGCAGACUGAACUCCAUAGACACCAUUCCCCCUUGGCUCACUCCUUUCUUCUCAGUCACGCACACAGUCACGCAUACACACUCACACCUAAUGUGAAUACUUUGGGUUUGCGGCAGCAGUGUGUAUGUUUCUUUGCGUCGUUGGACUCCAUGUUCUUGCAAGUAUUACUGUAUCAAUGCAUUGGCCAGUCAGGCACGUAAUGAAGUAUGCCAACAGUUAGGGUGAGAAGGGGAGGUUUAGGUCAGGGCUGCAGGUGGGAGUGGGGGUGGGAGGGGUGGUCCGGGUUUGCAGAGGGAGGAGGUGAGGGGGGUCGAGUCGAAAGAGGGAGGAGUGGAACCCCAGUCUACCCGCGAUGGGAGGUGAAAAGACGAGACAACCUGCGACAAUGAGCGCCGGAUGUCUGUGCAGAAAAUGCUGGCACUUUGACCUUUGAAGCUCCGAGGUCCCACCUGUGACCCCCAUCCCCUCUAAAGUCUACACCCACCCACACUCCCCCUCUCUCGCGCAGACUGCCCUCCCAGGGACAGAUGGAGACAGACAGAUGGACAGAGAGUGCCCCUGCUUGGGCAGACGACGGUGGUUUGGCGUGAUGCUGCUCAACUCAAGUCAACACAACUCAGGAUGGCUGAUAUGGACCGAUGUACACAGGAUACACCCGUUCCUACAGCAGCACAGAGGGAAAGAACCAGCGGUUAAUAUUUCAGUGCAUCGUUUUGCCUCUACUAUCACGACUACAACUGGAAAAAUGACCUUUGAGUAAUUUUAGUCCAUUGAAUACUGAGCUGAUGAACUACUCAAUCAUUUUAUGUUUGCUGAUUGUGUUUAUUUAUACAUAAUUUAAAUUACAGGGGGUCCUUGGUUUACGAAGUCAUCGACCUACGGCGUUUCGUUGUUACGUCGGAACUGGUUAUGUGGAACUAGUUGGCGAGCGGAGUGGAUGAAUACGUCGUCACGUGGUGCUAUAAGAUGGCUUUGUUUACAUUCUCUGGUUGUACACCACCUUAGAUUGUGCUGCAUUCGCUAACUUUUUGCCCUUCAUUAUGGUUGAAAGUCUUAAGCCAGACUCUUCUGAUGGCAGUGCUUCAAAAAAGAAAGUCAUCUUCAUGUGUGCUGUUUUCAC